GGGAUGCCAACAUUGCAGGGAUGCCAACAUCGCAUCACUGGACAGCAUUACCUCAAGACUUCCAAGUGCAAUAAAUGGAUUUUAAACAUGAUUCCUCCCUGGGUAUGAGGCAACAGUGUUUCUCAUCAUGCCUACGGCUCUCGUGGAAGUUAUAAAAGUAUUUCAAAGGAUUUGGCUUAACAUGGAGGGUAUUUCAAUAAAAAUGAUUAAAUUGGGCCUGAAAACAAGAUCCAUGAGCCUGGCACCCACCUGUUCUUCCUUUAGACAGUCAGUAAAUCUCCAUCUUCUUUGAUUUAAGGAUGAUAAUCUAACACAGCAUUUAUUUGAUUGUCCUACAAUAAAUACCACCAGGAACAAAGGGGCAUCAAAUCUACUGAAAUAAGAGCAAUUACAUCCUUUAUUCUGCAUAAAUGAAAUGAGAAGCUUGUCAGAAGAAAAUGCAUAUACUAAUCAGAGCUUUAGUUAUUAU